rnacentral:piRNA from 1 species
UACUAAGUGUCUCUUCAGAAUAUCAGAGGG